rnacentral:rRNA from 1 species
UUCGGUACAUAGGAGACAGGUGGUGCAUGGUUGUCGUUCAGCUCGUGUCGUGAGAUGUUGGGGUUAAGUCCCGCAACGAGCGCAACCCUUAUCUUUAGUAGCCAGCAGUAAGAUGGGCACUCUAGAGAGACUGCCGGGGAUAACCCGGAGGAAGGUGGGGAUGACGUCAAAUCAUCAUGCCCCUUAUGACCAGGGCUACACACGUGCUACAAUGGCGUAAACAAAGAGAAGCGAAGUCGUGAGGCAGAGCGAAUCUCAAAAAAUAACGUCUCAGUUCGGAUUGUAGUCUGCAACUCGACUACAUGAAGCUGGAAUCGCUAGUAAUCGCAGAUCAGAAUGCUGCGGUGAAUACGUUCCCGGGUCUUGUACACACCGCCCGUCACACCAUGGGAGUCGGAAAUGCCCGAAGUCGGUGACCUAACCGAAAGGAAGGAGCCGCCGAAGGCAGGUCUGAUAACUGGGGUGAAGUCGUAACAAGG